rnacentral:lncRNA from 1 species
CUUUGAUUGAACCAGGAUGAAUGCGGGUGUUGGAAGUAGAAUAUAUAUAUACAUAUAAAAUUGGUUGGGAGCCACGUGUACCAGUGUGUGUUGAUCUUGGCUUGAUUCAGUCUGCCUUGUAACAGGUGAGGUUUCUGCUUUCUAUCUGCCAAACCCCACCGCAAAAUUUGUCCAACUGGGCCUAACCUCAGGACCCAUUUCCAAGUUGGGUAUAAAACUGGGAGAAUAAGUCAUUAGGACUGACAUUGGCCUGUUGGUAUUACUAGGUCUUUGUUGGAAAUAAGAGCUUGGAGUUCCAAAGAAAACGAGCACUUGAACAAAAGAUUUCUCAGCAAGGCAAAUUUACUUCUGCCGUAGGGUGCUGCUGCUGGCAUUCCUGGCAAGAGCACACCUAACAAAAGAGAGAAAGGGUUUUUAUUCCUAACAAGUAGUCCCUGCUUCUGUGUCCUAUCCCCAUUGGCUGGAGUCGACAGCGCAAUCUAAACUAGUCCUGAUUGGCUAUUUUAAACAGGAGGCAUGUGGGUUACAGCUGUGGGAAGGGCAGGAAACUUGUUUACAGAGCUGGUUGCUAGGAGUGAGGGGGACUUUUCCAAAUAGGGAACAGGUUACAGGUUGAGAUUGGCCGGAGAAGUUGUUUAUAGAACGGGUAACUCGGAGCAGGAAGGUAUGAGGAAGUUGACCUUAAGAACAAAGAACAAGGAAGUUAAACUUUGAAGAGAAACCCAUCAUACCUAACAGUCUUGUAAGAAAGGAUGACAAAGUGAUUGAACAUUGGGUGGAGCUAAUUUUCCUUGGCCAAUUCACUUAGUAAGAUAAGGAGCUCCAAAUCAUAUUUAAGUUGGGAGUC